UGAUCGUGACACGACGUGUGCGUAGCACGAUCCAAUGGGUCACUCACUCUUCCGCUUUAAACUUUGGGUUAAUAUCCUUAGUUUUUAGUCGAAGGUUGAGGGUUUUUAUAGAUUCACUCAAACAUGCGGCCGUGACACGACGUGUGCGUAGCGGUGUUUGGGGAAUCGCUCGAGCCACCGACAAAGGGCCAUGGAAUUGAUGACCUUUGGCCCUAAGUCUGAAGGCUUGGGGACCUAAGCUUAUCGAGUUAGAUGCAUUAGUGAACCCCAACCUCAUGCAUCCAUAUAGUUCACCUAGGGUAGAGUCUGCCUAACCCUAUUAGGGACACCAUUCACGAGGGGAGGGAUCCCAUCCUUUUCCUUAUUUACUUUUCCUGUUUUUUAUCAUUUAAUUGUCCAACGUGUUAUGUGAUUAAAUGUGGAACUAACUUUCCUUGUUUCUUGUUUUUGCAUUCACAACCCUAGCAAAUAAGAGGUCUGGCAUGACCUUCUUUUAAGAAGCCUACCCGUGUAGAUAGGACAUGGC
rnacentral:lncRNA from 1 species